CCUACGGGAGGCAGCAGUGAGGAAUUUUCCGCAAUGGGCGAAAGCCUGACGGAGCAAUACCGCGUGAGGGAUGAAGGAUUUUGGUCUGUAAACCUCUUUUCUCAAGAAAGAAGUUCUGACGGUACUUGAGGAAUAAGCAUCGGCUAACUCCGUGCCAGCAGUCGCGGUAAUACGGGGGAUGCAAGCGUUAUCCGGAAUGAUUGGGCGUAAAGCACCUGUAGGUUGUUUAUUAAGUCCGUUGUUAAAGCCUAGGGCUUAACCCUAGAAAAGCAAUGGAAACUAGUAGACUAGAGUAUGGCAGGGGUAGAGGGAAUUUCUAGUGUAGCGGUGAAAUGCGUAGAUAUUAGAAAGAACGCCGGUGGCGAAAGCGCUCUACUGGACCAUUACUGACACUCAGAGGCGAAAGCUAGGGUAGCAAAAGGGAUUAGAUACCCCUGUAGUCCUAGCCGUAAACGAUGGAUACUAGAUGUUGUGCAUUAUGUACAGUAUCGUAGCUAACGCGUUAAGUAUCCCGCCUGGGAGUACGCUCGCAAGGGUGAAACUCAAAGGAAUUGACGG
rnacentral:rRNA from 1 species